GGCAGCCUUGUCAAAUUCAGCGCUUGCCUGCUCAAUGGUUGGAACCGGCCCUGCAACUGCUAUAACAAACGUGUAGGUCUGUGCCGUUGGGCCUAGGGAUAAAUACAUGCUACAGAUAAAC